rnacentral:rRNA from 1 species
UACGUAGGGUGCGAGCGUUAAUCGGAAUUACUGGGCGUAAAGCGUGCGCAGGCGGUUUUGUAAGCCAGAGGUGAAAUCCCCGGGCUUAACCUGGGAAUGGCAUUUGGGACUGCAAGGCUUGAGUUUGGCAGAGGGGACUGGAAUUCCUGGUGUAGCAGUGAAAUGCGUAGAUAUCGGUAGGAACACCAGUGGCGAAGGCGGUUCCCUGGGGCACUCUUGACGCUGAUGCGCGAAAGCUGGGGGAGCGAACGGG